AGGGAGCUUGCUCCUGGAUUCAGCGGCGGACGGGUGAGUAAUGCCUAGGAAUCUGCCUGGUAGUGGGGGAUAACGUCCGGAAACGGGCGCUAAUACCGCAUACGUCCUGAGGGAGAAAGUGGGGGAUCUUCGGACCUCACGCUAUCAGAUGAGCCUAGGUCGGAUUAGCUAGUUGGUGGGGUAAAGGCCUACCAAGGCGACGAUCCGUAACUGGUCUGAGAGGAUGAUCAGUCACACUGGAACUGAGACACGGUCCAGACUCCUACGGGAGGCAGCAGUGGGGAAUAUUGGACAAUGGGCGAAAGCCUGAUCCAGCCAUGCCGCGUGUGUGAAGAAGGUCUUCGGAUUGUAAAGCACUUUAAGUUGGGAGAAGGGCAGUAAGUUAAUACCUUGCUGUUUUGACGUUACCAACAGAAUAAGCACCGGCUAACUUCGUGCCAGCAGCCGCGGUAAUACGAAGGGUGCAAGCGUUAAUCGGAAUUACUGGGCGUAAAGCGCGCGUAGGUGGUUCAGCAAGUUGGAUGUGAAAUCCCCGGGCUCAACCUGGGAACUGCAUCCAAAACUACUGAGCUAGAGUACGGUAGAGGGUGGUGGAAUUUCCUGUGUAGCGGUGAAAUGCGUAGAUAUAGGAAGGAACACCAGUGGCGAAGGCGACCACCUGGACUGAUACUGACACUGAGGUGCGAAAGCGUGGGGAGCAAACAGGAUUAGAUACCCUGGUAGUCCACGCCGUAAACGAUGUCGACUAGCCGUUGGGAUCCUUGAGAUCUUAGUGGCGCAGCUAACGCGAUAAGUCGACCGCCU
rnacentral:rRNA from 1 species